rnacentral:piRNA from 1 species
GAUGGUAGUGAGUUAUCUCAAUU